rnacentral:misc_RNA from 1 species
ACCAAGUACCUCUCCGCAAGCACUACAAAAAUAUUAUUAAAAUAUUACAAGCAAUUAAAGGAUGCAAUUCUGAAAAUAAUAUCAACUGUAGAAACUUAAAAACAAAGUUACGAAAUUAAGGAAAUUAAUACAAAUUAAAGGGGCACAUUUAUCCUUUUAAAGUGUUCGAUGUGCCUUUGCAUGAAUACUAAGCCCAGAAUUCUCAAGAGUGCAGAGAUGAACAGCCGAGAGCUUUUGAAUUGGUCAGGAGUAGCCAAGAGAUUGGAUAGCAUACAACUCAACUCAGUUAAGUAGUAUGGAAAUCUCUUUAGCAGGGAACAUUUUUCAUCUUUGCAAUUGGCAUGUUUUUUAGGUAAUUAGCAUCACCUUCUAACUCAGCAUUUACGAAAUUUCAGACAUGCAGCCUUAUCUUUUUGCCUUUUUCAUUUUCUCUUUUCAAUCUCUUACCCUCUAAAUUGUAUUAAUUUACAUGCACAACGUCAAAAAGAUAACCUGAUUCAUUUUCCAUAAAAAAGAUACACAUAUAAAUAAAUUACAAAAAAAAUAAAUCAUUUAAAGGAAUUUUCUUGCCUAGA